rnacentral:rRNA from 1 species
UACGAAGGGGGCUAGCGUUGUUCGGAAUUACUGGGCGUAAAGGGCGCGUAGGCGGUCCUGAUCGUCGGAUGUGAAAGGCCUGGGCUCAACCUGGGAAUGGCAUCCGAUACGGCGGGACUGGAGUGUGGGAGAGGUUGGUGGAAUUCCCAGUGUAGAGGUGAAAUUCGUAGAUAUUGGGAAGAACACCGGUGGCGAAGGCGGCCAACUGGACCACAACUGACGCUGAGGUGCGAAAGCGUGGGGAGCAAACAGG